GAACUACUGAGGAGUCCCACAAUAGGACGAAACGGCCGUCCAGUGU
rnacentral:hammerhead_ribozyme from 1 species